rnacentral:rRNA from 1 species
UGAUCAGUGGCUCAGGAUGAACGCUAGCGGCAGGCUUAACACAUGCAAGUCGAGGGGCAGCAUAAUGGAUAGCAAUAUCUAUGGUGGCGACCGGCGCACGGGUGCGUAACGCGUAUGCAACCUACCUUUAACAGGGGGAUAACACUGAGAAAUUGGUACUAAUACCCCAUAAUAUCAUAGAAGGCAUCUUUUAUGGUUGAAAAAUUCCGAUGGUUAGAGAUGGGCAUGCGUU